rnacentral:tRNA from 1 species
GGAGUUGUGGCUCAGUGGUAGAGCACUUGCCAAGCAGGUGUGAGGCACUGGGUUUGAUUCUCAGCACUGCA